ACCUACCAAUUACAAUUCCAGAAAUUGAAAUUUUGCUUUGAUGUUGCAAAAUAUUCUAGAUGUCGCAAACCGAGAGUCAAUCGGGGCAGCCCUAGAAACCAAGGAAGACCCUUUUCUCAGCAUAACCGGAAUUUAAGUUCUCGUUUCUUGUUCUCUCCCUUUUGAUGGUGCAGAAUUAUGGAAUUCUUGGUCGUUUUGAUCUACUAAAAUCGAACAAAGAAACAGGGUUCGGAAUGUUCAGCAGCAGCAGGGUAUAAAUGCAGAACAGAGCAUUAUGGAAAUUCCUGCCACCGACUUCGUUUCAGAGUCGCGAGAUAAGCCCAAGGGAGGAGCAAUUGAUCCCAAGCCCGAGAAUAAGCACUGCAUUUGAUGCAAAACAUAUACCCAUGUUUCCAUAUAUGAAAGCAUUGAUUCUCUAGCAGAGAACAAUAGAUCCGUUGAGAAAGAGGGGGAAGAUUUAGAAAGGGCUCGACCACAUCAGUCGCAUUCACUCUCUGAAAAUGAAAAUUCUGUGGCAUCUAGUACGGGAUUUUAUCCUCGGAAUCAUACCCUCAUUUGUGUCGAAAGUAUGGUUUUAUGGACUUCAAAACAUGCCAAAAAAUGCCCUAGAGCCUCGGCGCCAAGGAGUGGCGCCGCAACGCUGUGUCUUUGUUUGGUGUGAUUUGGUGGUGCCAUGGGUGGAACUCAGCACUGCACAUCCUUCAAUAUUUUUAUCAUAACUUUCUCUCCUGAUAUUCAAUUGAGCGUAAAGAUAACUCAAAGAGCUACAAAUUUUCUUGAAAUAGCUAUUUUCCAAUUCAAAUGUUUACUAGGUCAAAAAUGGGUUUCAAUCUUGAGCUAAAAAUCUAGAACAUACUUAUGCGAUUGAAAAUCAACACCAUGUCCAUGUUUUGAUCAUAUUUCACUCAUUUUUACUUCUAAUUGCAUUC